CGGGUACGUAUGGCUACCUGUGUGGAUACAGCUGUCACUGUCAGGCUAACACGUGUAACGUUACAGAUGGAUGCAGAUCUCAGGCUUGCAUCAAAGGAUGGUCAGGACCAACAUGCCAGAAAAAUAACAAAGCACUCGAUAAGCCGACAUCGGCCAGCAGUACCUCUAUGGCAGCAGGUAACGCUGUAGACGGAAACACCAUAGCGAACGACUAUCGCUACUGCUUUCAUUCAGCAUACAAUGACGGUAUAAACGUUGCGUGGUGGAGAGUGGAUCUGAAUAAGACAACACCGAUACAUGACGUCACCAUAUACUUCCGGACAGACUAUAAGGUUCGUCGGAAUGGUAUCCAGGUCUACAUAGCUGACACUGCCGCUUCCGCAACUAAUGGAGUCAACUGCUACAACGUGACAGGGAAGGGAGACGGAUCAGACAUACUUGAUGUUUUGAACGUCACGUGUUCUGGUAAAGGGCGUUAUCUGGUCCUGUACACCACUACAAUAAACAAUGGUGACGCUGUACCCAUUUUGGAUUUCUGCGAAGUGCAGGUUGACGGUAGGGAUCAUGUUGAAUGCCACAUUUUAUUCAUAUCCGAUUUUGAUCAUUCACACGUUAGCCGUGAAUAUCUUAACUUGCCGUUCCUAAUCGCGAUGUUUUGAACCCGACGUGUUCCUAUUCGAGUUUUGUAGUUAAAAAAUCACCGACAUUAUCAUUAUCAACUUGUCCAUUAUGGACUUCUGUGAAAUGGAUGGCAACUGGACUAAUGAUGUCUCUCAUCUGUAUAUUGAGGUGACAAACAUGUUGUGGUUUCAAUGACGGGCUGUGAUGUUAAAUGUAAAUCUUACUAUCGAAAAAUCGAAUUGUGACC